UACGUAGGUGGCUAGCGUUGUCCGGAUUUACUGGGCGUAAAGAGCGCGCAGGCGGUCGUUCAAGUCGAGUGUGAAAGCCCCCCGGCUCAACUGGGGAGGGUCACUCGAUACUGAUCGACUCGAAGGCAGGAGAGGGAAGCGGAAUUCCCGGUGUAGUGGUGAAAUGCGUAGAUAUCGGGAGGAACACCAGUGGCGAAGGCGGCUUUCUGGCCUGCUCUUGACGCUGAGGCGCGAAAGCUAGGGUAGCAAACGGG
rnacentral:rRNA from 1 species